rnacentral:lncRNA from 1 species
UGUUAAUCUCGUGCUUCAGUUUAAAUUUUACUUCCUGUCUGUGAUUGUGUCUGUUUAUCUGUAUCUCAUCUCCACUUCCACAAGUUUUCCCUGUGUGUAUUUAUCUCCUCUUUGUUCCUUUUCAAAUAUUCUGUUGUGUUCUACCAUGUGUUCUCAGCAAGUAAGUUUUUUGUUUCUCUUCACUGGAUUUUUGUAUUCUUGGACUGCUGUCAACCACGUGCAAACAUGUCAUGUUAAAUCCUGCCUGCUUGUUUUGUAGAGUCUGCUUUUGGGUCCCUACAGCUGAUAAAUGCAGUUAUUUGUUCCUAUGAACUGUGAACAUACACACAGGAGAAGACUAAAGAGAAGAAUACACUGUGCUCGCUGUUAGAGUGAAAUUACAUGUUAUCUCAGAAGAGAAUUUUUGGGGGGGUGGUUUUCUAAAGAAAAAAUAAUCUGUGUACGGAGACGAUGCAGACACAAACCUGAAAACUCCAAACAGUCCAAACAUAUGAAUAUCAGUUAUAUGAGACAAUCUAAAGUGUGUUGUGUUGUUUUCCACAGGUGUAGAAUGAUGAAGAUGAAGGUACAGUGACCUAUGAAAACUCUGGAGACCCUUCAGCUUCUGUCAGACUCCACUGAUCAUCAACAUCAACUCAGCAAAGAAACAAGUCGACUUCUGUUGAAGAUCAUCUCAUCACAUUUUAUAUAUCAAAUACUCAGUUCUGGAAUAACUGCCUGUUCUUCCUCCACCGCUCACCAAACCCAGCAGCAGGACCCAUUCACCCUCACCUGCAUUUUCAAAGUCUUUGUUAUAAAACUCUCAACCUGAUUCUAGUGUUAAAGCCUGCUUUAAAGUCCAUUUCUUCUGUUUAACAAUAAUAAUAAUCAAAAAGGAAAUGUAGUUUCUAACCUGCAUUUAAAUCUGAAUGAAACAGUUUGAUCUCACCUUCAUCUAACAUGAACAUAGUUGUAGUUGCAGCAUUUACCUGUCAGAGUCUGAAUGACUGAUAGUUCUUAAAUCAUCCGUCACUCAGUGUUAUGUGAUCUGUAACAACUUGUUUUUGUAAUAACUCAUGAAAAUAUAACUGAAAGUAUUUAUGAAGCAUUUUAUAUUGUGUGUGUACAUCUGUGUGUGGACAGCUCACAUUGUGACACCAAUGCAACUGAUGACAAGAGUUUAACUUCACUGUGUGCUUUAUUGGCCUUUUACCCUCAUUAUUAUGUUUUACAAUAAAAGUAUCACAUG